rnacentral:misc_RNA from 1 species
UGACAAGUCAAUAUAAGAAGACGAAUAUGCCAUUCCUUGAAGAUUAUCCAGGUUCCUCGAUGGCUUCUAACAUCCAAGACGACGUGUAUCGAGAAGGGCAAAGCCAAUGUAACAUAGAGAUUCCAACCUCUAAAGAUGAUGAUCUGUGGAGACUUUUUGGGGUAGAUAAAUUUCCUAAGAUAUGCCCUCAACUUGUGGACCAGCUUAUAGCAAAAUUUGGCCCACAGGACAGCCUCAACUCUCCACCACAG